rnacentral:lncRNA from 10 species
CCUGAGCUGGCGAAGAUGCCCUCCUUUAGAGGAGCGUGCAGACUUGAUAAGGGAAACAGAUGGGCCAACAGAUAAUUCCCAGCAGAGGUGUGUUCAAACAUGAGCCCUGGGGACUAGGUACUAAGCAGAUGGAGGAACAGAGAUAGCAUUGAAAUCAUAUAGCAGCAUCAUCCAGACCUGCAGAAUCAUACGUGAUCAUAGCCAGUUCACACUGAAAAAAGCCUUGUAGGAGAUUCGCCAACCUAAUCAUUCAGCUUACAGGUGCCUGAAACAAAGAAAAGAAAUGCAGAUAAUUGGAUCUUCAUGACAAUUUCCCAACUGGCCACUUUCCCUGUAACAAGACCAAGCCUGUCUCUUCCAUAUGGGUCAGCCAUAUCCCACCCACUCCUCCUGGGAUUUGACUUGGGGAAUGUGGACAGAAUCACACAGUCAGUAGAAGUUGGAAAGUAGGCGGAAGUGGCCACAUGGGGUAGGGACAUAUCAGAGUUAUGAUGAAUCAGAAGCAGAAGCCCCAAGUUGAAGAAGAGAUACAAAGCUUGGAAGCAGGAAGAGAUGGAGCGGACACACAAAGGAAUCCAACACUGGAGAACGGCAACGUAAAGGUGGCGUGCUAGGGGAAAGCUCCAGAAUUCCUGCAGCUGGGCGCUGGAGCCACCCUGAACUUUCAAAGACCUCCCUAUUCCAGUCUCCACAAUCCCAGGUCCUGGUAUGUCCCUGGAUUUGGGGGGAGAUUCUGGCUCCUUUGUAGCACCACAAUAAACCCUUAUUGCCUGAGUUAUCCCAAGUGACUCCCUGUUCUUUAUGGGCUCACAAGCCAACACACC